GCUUUCAUGGUGAAAUUGGAAGCCUACUUGACGCAUAUUCGAGAGGUCCAGGGUUCGAGUCCCAGUGAGAGCA
rnacentral:tRNA from 1 species